rnacentral:misc_RNA from 1 species
AACGCAACUUGCGCCCCUUGGUAUUCCGAGGGGCACGCCUGUUUGAGUGUCGUGAAUUCCUCCACUCCCUCACUUUUUUUUUGUGGGCGGAGCUGGGAUUUGGGGGCCUUUUGCGGAAGCCUUUUUGGCUCGCAUCCCCUUGAAUGCAUUAGUGAAGACCUCGCGAAGGUCUCGGUGUGAUAAUUAUCUACGCCGUGUCUUUGCAAACUCGGGCUUCGCUUCGAACCGUCCGCCUUUGGACAAACCACACAUCGAACUUGACCUCAAAUCAGGCGGGACUACCCGCUGAACUUAA